rnacentral:rRNA from 1 species
UACGAAGGGGGCUAGCGUUGUUCGGAAUUACUGGGCGUAAAGCGUGCGCAGGCGGUUCGUCGUGUCCGAUGUGAAAGCCCCGGGCUCAACCUGGGAAUGGCAUUGGAAACUGGCGGGCUUGAGUGUGGCAGAGGGGGGUGGAAUUCCGCGUGUAGCAGUGAAAUGCGUAGAGAUGCGGAGGAACACCGAUGGCGAAGGCAGCCCCCCUGGGCUAACACUGACGCUCAGGCACGAAAGCGUGGGGAGCAAACAGG